rnacentral:lncRNA from 1 species
CUCUUGCCUUUUUCUCAAAUACUAUUCAAACAUACAUUUUAUGUGGAGAUGCUGACGGACAACAACAUCUGCUCUCUCAGCUCAUGGGCUCUUAUUUGGAUUGUAAUUACUCCAUUGGCUGUGAUCUGUUCUCUGUUUGCCCACUAUCUGUUUCUGUCAGGUCUCAGUCUCCUACAAACCACCCAUUAUGUGGUGGUGAUAAUUAAAUCUCCCUGCUCCAGACCGGGCUGAGCAGCACAGGGAGGGCCUUCCUUGUCCUGACAGCUGCCAGAGCCACAGCCCCUAACGAUGCCCCGAUCACCUGCCUGCUCUGCAGGACAGGACACCUAUUUGUUCCAAACAAGCUCUUUCAGCAGCUGUCAGAUGCUAAUGGCUUUCAGCUGCUGCCAACCUGUGCCCUAUGCAAACCAGGGGCGCAUCAUGGAAAUGUGCGUAAAUAUUCAUGUGAGGCUGACAAAACCAGAAGUGCAAAUGCAGUUAUCGGAGCUCUUGCAUGAAUGUGCCAUAGCCUGCCCUGUUGUUUCGGUUUUAGUGUGAGGGACACAGUGCAAAUGUUCUGAAGUGAUGUUGCCCUUUUAUGUCUGUGAUUAAAAAAUCCGCUGAAGGCAGUGGGGAUGCAGAGGCACAUGGAGAUGCCUUAUGGAAAAGGAUUCCCACCUCGUGACCAGCUGCGGUGAUGAAACCCUCCUGGGACACUCAGGGCAGACCGGGAUGCUUUCAGCAAGAAGCAAUGCUCAUCUGUUGUGCUCACGUUUAUAUUCUGUGAUGCCACCGCUGAUUACACUGAAGAUAUUCUGACUGCUGUCAGUGGAGUGAGAGGUGGACUGCGCCUGAAUGCUUGGAAGGACAGUUAAAUGUGAUCUCAAAUCAAAUUCUUAAGGACUUUAUGAGUUCCUUUUAUUUGGGGGCAUGUAACUAAAGGAGAUGUUCAGCAUGUUCCUUGGUGGGUGCCAGAAAGCUUAUUUUCAGAAGUAUCUGAGGCUCAGGGAAAGUCAACGACGGCUAUAUUUACCCUGAAGUCUGUGCAACUGCUGCCAAAAUCGAGCCAUGUUCUUUUUGUAGGAAUAACCAUGAGAAACAACAGCAUUUGGAGGAAGGACCGGGCACCAUACAUGUGACUUAUCUGACAUAGAAUGACGUAGAUGUCUUAAAUGGGGUCCAAUAGGCCACCUGAGGUUGUGCCUUGAGUGCUGUCAUCAGAAGGGCAGAUGGGAAAGGAGACAUUAACUCUCGGUGCUAUUGGUAGGCAUUGUUUCCACAGAAGCCCCCUCCCCUGUUUGGCCCGUGGCUGUGUCCUGGUGGAGCUGGGCCAGGCGUUGUGCCACUGUCUGCUGACAGGAUCCAAUUUCUUCUUAUGUGGAAAUAUAAAUCUUGGCCCUUCGAUCAUGUGAACCAUAAAAGAGGGAAACGCCUCUUCGUUUUACUUGAAAAAAGAAAAGUCGGAACUAUCCAGAACUGCUCGUUACAAAACAGUGACAGAAGAGCUUCCUUAAAUCAAACAGAGCUCUCAUUUUGCUGUUGGACCGUCCCACAGAGUGCUGCGUUCCCACCGUUUCUGCUCAGGGGAAGUGCUCUGUCAGCUCAGACCGUGAGCAGCUCUCCAGGGAGCACACAGCAGGGCUCAGGGCCUGUUUUGACUUAACAGGCACCGGGAGAGGAUAAUCCUGUUUAUUCGGUCAUCCAAAGCACUGAUGAUCUGAGAUAAUCGGUGGCUGAGAGCAGCGAGGAGGGACGCGUGAGGUGCUCCGUGCCUGGAUGGAUGAGUCAGAUGCUCAGCACUGGGGAACGGACUGAGCUCACCCCUGCAGCCCCAACAGGGCGUGGAGAGCCCCAGCCAACCUCACAAAGAAGACAGAAAGUGGAGAAGCCAACCAG